rnacentral:piRNA from 1 species
GAAAUGCUCCAACAGAGCAAGAUCCUGAA